AUUGGACGCUGGCGGCAUGCCUUACACAUGCAAGUCGAACGGCAGCACGGACUUCGGUCUGGUGGCGAGUGGCGAACGGGUGAGUAAUAUAUCGGAACAUACCCUAGAGUGGGGGAUAACGUAGCGAAAGUUACGCUAAUACCGCAUACGAUCUAAGGAUGAAAGCGGGGGAUCGCAAGACCUCGUGCUCAUGGAGUGGCCGAUAUCUGAUUAGCUAGUUGGUGAGGUAAAGGCUCACCAAGGCGACGAUCAGUAGCUGGUUUGAGAGAACGACCAGCCACACUGGAACUGAGGCACAGUCCAGACUCCUACGGGAGGCAGCAGUGGGGAAUUUUGGACAAUGGGCGCAAGCCUGAUCCAGCAAUGCCGCGUGAGUGAAGAAGGCCUUCGGGUUGUAAAGCUCUUUUGUCAGGGAAGAAACGGUGAGUCCUAAUACGGCUUGCUAAUGACGGUACCUGAAGAAUAAGCACCGGCUAACUACGUGCCAGCAGCCGCAGUAAUAC
rnacentral:rRNA from 1 species